GUCCGUGACGAACACACACACACAUAAUGUGUGUACAUGUACAGUACUAAUACCAUCGCAAAUGCAGAGUCGAGUUGCACGGCAUUCGGUGCACUGUGUGUUUUCGUCGCCCGAUCUCGCCCAUUCAUUCAGCCAACACGCUACCAGUACAAGCGCACGCACAUUCUUCAAUACGAUACCGGUACUGAAUCAUGGAUGUAUAACUUGGAAUUUUGCCGUGGAAACUGAUACAAAUUGUGCUAAUUUUUGGAACAAACCAUGGCUACUUAUAUCAUCUUUAUAAGCUUUUUCUUCGUAUUGUUUGUUCUCCAUCUACCUUGCCCUCUUACUGCCGAAGAGAACUUAAAUUUAGAAACCGAAACCGUUGAUGACCUGUUUUACAAGACGUGCUACAAGCAGUGUGUGGAUCUAGGACGUUUCCCCUGCCCCGACGGAUCAGCAUCCUGCGGAGACUGCUUAAGACCGUUGACGAAGGAAUCUUUAGAAAGGGAAGGCGCCUGUGAAC